rnacentral:lncRNA from 1 species
CGGCAACAAAUGAGGCAACAUAAAGGAGGAGAGCAAGGGUAGCAGUGCAUCAAACAAACCAUAAGAUGAGGAAAAACUGAAAAUUCUUCUUGAACUUGAAAAAUUUGUUGAUAUCUGACUUUGCAUACUGGAAAAUCUAAAAGGUUGCAUCCACUACACACUGCAUAUUACCUACCAUUCUGCUACAUAUGCAUUUGCAUGGUCUCACUUUUAAUGAGGUGCCCACAGCCUUAGCCCAAAAGAUUAUAAAGGAAAAAAGAACAAAAAGAAAGGAAAACAAAAAAGCAGAAGGCAAAAACGAAUGAUAGUGCACUUUUUCAAAAUUUGGUUUAGAAAGUAAGUGAACAGAUUUUGGACUUGAGGUUUCAUUUUGUAUCGUAAUUGAAUAGAAGCAAAGACUGAAAUUGAACAUAGAAGCAAAGACUGAAAUUGAACAGGAAUCCAAAUGCCACUGGUAAUUGUACAAAGUUGUUUGAAAUAUAAUUGUACAAACAAAGUGAAAGUGAAGCUUAAAGGAUAACAAGACCAGAUUUGGUAAAAAUUUCAUUGGUAAUUGUACAAAAUUUUGUUUCAAUGGAAAUUAUAGAGAAUAAGAAUGGAAAAAUAGGCUAAAAAGAAAUCAAAAAUGGACAAGACUGUGGGCAAUUGAAUAUGUUCAAGCAGCAUAUGAGCAUAUCGGGCCAAACCACAACAAAUCAACCUUAUAACCCCAUGUUGAAAUACAACUCAAACCAUUCCGAGAACAAUCAACCAGCUCUAAUCAAUCAUUCCAAUAGCAGACAUAGCCCAAAUCUUCAAUUUUGAUAACAUGUAAACACCUCCCAGAAUAUACAUAACUAGCACAAGAAGCCACACAUCAAACAGAAAUCCAACUCAUCUAGCCAGAAUCUCUAGUCCAGAAGAAAUAUAAAACUCUUCUUCAAACUUUAAACUUCAACUUAAACUUCAUCAAUUGACAAAAGAAAUUAAAAUCGGACAAAUAAUGAUACUAGCCAAGACAACCGAGAUCACAACCUCAAUAGCAUGAUUCCAAGAGAUAGAAAUGACCAAAUCUGAAAAGAGAUUACC